CUGGGCUCCUGGAAGUAGGCGGGGCCAAUGGCCUGAUUGACUGGGGGUGGGCGUGGCCGCGUGCCCUCGCUUGCUGCGGCGCCAUCUCUUCUAACCCUGGCAGGCCCUACCACAGUCCAAAUCCUUUCUAUGAGAGAUUCAAGACACAGCACAGGCAGGUGAUCUUGGACCAGCAGACCUUAGAGCAGGAGCACACUGAAGCCUCACAGAACUUCAAGGAGCUUGACAAGGAGACUGGCUUCUAUUGGUGUGAAAAGCUGCACCUUGAACUGGAACUGGACACAGCCUAUGAGGAGAGCCUCUUGCAGAAGGAGCCGCUGUAUCAGGAGCCGCCUGCUGAGCCCGCCCCAGGAAACACAGAACUCCUGGGAGGAGCUGUCUUCUUCUGAAUGGGGCACGUUGGUGUGAACAGGCCAUAAUUUUACCUAGCCAGUGAGCCAGCCAGGCUGCUUCUGGGCCUCGUUCUCUUUUCUGUGCUGUUCUGAAGACAUCCUUGAGAAAACUGGUGUCUCCCUUGCCACUAAGUGUUCAAGACCAGCCACAGGCUGUGGCUCUGUCCUGCUAAAUCUGCAGUGAGAGGAGGCUGCUGAAUAUAAUUUUCUGUUUGAGUUUUGGUUUCUGGUUUCAGGGAUUGAGAGCUGUUCCCUACCUCUCUGAGCUUCCUUUAUUCAGGAAGGCAGCUUCUCCCUCCCUGGAAUGACUUCUACCCAACACUGCCCUCCUCUUCACCACCAGACAAGAGCAAAGGGACCUGAAAUCUCAGUGUGGAGCCUAUUACAUCCCAGGCUCAACAGCUUCCCAUCACUGACUCUCAGUCCUCAGAGUCAUCCUCUGACAUAGGUACCGUUAUUAGUCUUUCUUCUGAGCUAAUGGGAAAACUUGAGUUAUGGAGGAUCCAACUAAUGUGGCAAAGAGGAAGUGGGGUUAAUAUUCAUACCCAUGGUAGAGUGCAGCCUGGCACACUCAAAUCUCUGGGUUCAGCAUUCAGCACUAAAAAAAAAAAAAAAAAAAAAAAAAAAAAAAAAAAUCAUAGCAACCUAACACAUACACACACACACACACACCUGAGCAAGCCACAAAUUUCCAAACCCAGGCCUAUCUCUUUCCCACCCUACUGUUCCUUCCAGGAAUAUUUCUGAAGGAAUAUACAAAUAGACUCAUUGGGGUACUCCAGGGUUGAAAGUCUCAUUUGAAUUUCAGAGGAAUGAGGGUCUCAGAAACAUGUGGGAUUCCCAGACAUUUGGAUGUGCAGGUGUCCCUGAAGGCUUUAUGGCCAGAAGCCAAAGGAUCCAGGAAGAGACAAGAAUGAAACUCUGUUUUGCUUGAAUUAGCUGUCCAUAAAGGAUUCAUACUUCUCGAGCCUGACAUGAAGUACUUUGUUUUAGUCAUAUUGAAACACAGCACUAUUUUGGGGGGGGGGAGUGCUCCAAUGAUGAUUAACUCAGUUCCAUGUAUACAACAAAGCUUAAGACAUAUUUACAUGGAACCUCUUUUCGUAGGCAUCUUUUUUUUUUUUUUUUUAAGAUUUUCUUAUUUAUACAGUAAACUAUCUGUAUGUACACCUGCAUGACAGAAGAGGGCACCAGAUUUCAUUACAGAUGGUUGUAAGCCACCAUGUGGUUGCUGGGAAUUGAACUCAGGACCUCUGGAAGAGCAGCCGGUGCUCUUAACCUCUGAGCCAUCUCUCCAGCCCCAUGGAACUUCUUUUCAAAGUACAUAUGGAAUUUCCCAUAAAGAUUGGUAAUGUUGCCGUAAAAACAGUGCUCAAGGUUUAAGGUCUGGGGAGAAUGACUGAGGUAAACAUAAUGCCAGUUGGAACCCAGAUUGACCAGGCCCUAACCCUAAUGUAACAUAGAAGUGACUUAGGUUAUUGUAAACUACAAAUGACAUUUCUCAUAGGGAUGCAUUUUAUGAACGUAGAAACAAUGCUCCAGAUUCAGGUGAGAAGCAUACAGGAAAAACUAACAUAAUUUCUGGGAUAUAUAGGCAAUAACAGUCUCUACAAAUUGCAAAUGCUCAUGAGACUUUAAACCUCACCCUUUCCCACCAUUUCUGGAGGGAGAUUAAUAAACGUUUUCUUUCUUUGAGGGUUAAGUCUGUGUUAACUUCCCUGGCUUCUCCAGUACUCACCUGUGUUCACAAGAACCUUUGCUUUUUAAAGUUCCUUUUUCAGCACAAAGCAGAUAUAUCCUUAGACUAUGCAUGAGACACCAGCGGGGCAUGUUGACUUCCAGAUUCCUGGGCUUUGGCACAGACCCUCAGGUCAGACCCUCUGGGAUACUAAACCUGCAUGUGCACCAUAGAGACUCUUAUCAGUAAGACUCCAGUGAGCCGGACCCCAGAAAGUCCCCUACAAAAAGAGCCAAAUACUUUUGUGACUGUGCUUGCAUUUAAGCUGGGGGAGUCUCCUCUGAGUGAUACCUAAGACUUUCAUAUCUCCGGGCCCAAGCAAUUGUCUUCAAGCUCUAGGCUGAGCUCAGUGACAAGCGAGGGAUCUGCCUGCUCUGGGGAUCCUAGGCUGGGCUGUCAGACAGACCAAGCUUUCAGCCUCCCCCCAGCCCCUCAUCCUCUCCCUUUUGGGUGACAGAUCCUGAGAACACAGAGGGCCAAGUCAGGUCAUUUUGUACAGAUAGCUCUGUCAACCUUCCCACAUCUGUAAAGGCAGGCUUUUCUUUAUUUUUGUUUUUAUCAUUGUUUUAGAUAGGGUCUCAUGUACCUCAGGCUGGACUCAGACUCCUGCUCCAUCUGCUUCUAUUUUCCUACUUCUGGGGAUCAGAGGCAUGUCACCAUACCCCAGAGCUGGUGGCUCCUCUUUAUUGGAUGUUCCUUUCAGUGACAUUCCUUUCUGCAUGCUGACAGUUUAGGACCAUUCCAUAAUUGUCAGUUAAAUGAAUAAAUUAAGGGCAAAGGAAGAGAGACUUGUGAACAGCUAACAGUAACCCAAGCAGAAGGGUAUGUGUGCUAAAUCGUCGUGUAAUAUUCCACAGCCAGCAGGGAAGGAAGGGGGAAAGGCAUUGUCUCCCCUGUCCUGUGACAGCAGUGUCCAUGCUUCUUCACUGCAGGUAUCUGUCCAUUCAGAAAACAUCAAAGAUGGUGGGUAUAUUGUCAAACAUAUGGCCAUGUCUUCCUCUUCCCACUGUGACCAAUAAACCUUCCAGAAUAUCCAGAGCACUCUUUGGUCCCCUCCCUAGUAGCAUGCUGCUAGACUUCCUUUUCUCAUCCAAACCCUGUGUGAAUCUGCAGGGAGCCUUGCCUUUUCUAUACCAUUUGGUCAUGAAUGCCUGUGUUAUUAAACUAUGCAGUGUUUAGAGUU